AUAUAUUAUAUUCAGUGUGUCCCAAUUCCUAUCCCUUGUAUCGAUCUGUUAAAGAUGACAGCUGUCAUCCUUCUGAUAGUAAGUACAUAAGAGGAAAUUGUAUAUAACCACAAGAGGUUUGCUGUUGUAUAAAAGUAAUAAAGAUGCUCUCUUCUAUUUCAACUGUUAACCGGAUCAGUUCGUUUUUUAUUGACUUAACAGUGGCGACGAGAGUAAAAAAGUAGUUAUUCGCGUGUGAAAGUGAUAAAAACGUACAGAAGUUGUUGGCUGCUCCGGGUUAGCUUGUGUCGGACGGUAGCAAGGGUAUACGGAGGCGGAUUAUAUUCGGAUUAAAGUCGGUCGAAAGUGACGCUAGUUACGUUCUUUUGUUUGGGCAUUUGAAAGCGAGCCAGGUUGAGUUGAUUCCCUGGUACAGGCUGUAACGGAAGCAAGCCAAAGAGCCUCUGAGCAAUAACGCUAGGCCAGUUAGUCGAUAUUCCGAGAACAGAGGUGGAAAGUAUUAAAGGCAUUCAUCGGUGCGGAAAUCUUAAUAGUUCGGAUGACAGUGAAGGAUAGCUGAGAGGAUACGUGGCACAUCGGUGCGUAUCGGGAUCGAUUCGUUUUGGGAACAUCGACCGACCAAGAGGUUAAACACGAGCGUUGGAGGAGACGGUAACUUAAGCGUAAGCGGACAACCAGCGGCGCAGGAAUCGAUUGGAUCGAAGGCGCGGGAAUCGAUCGGAUCCGAGGCGAGACCGGCAACAAUAGGAGGGUUUGGCAAGCAGCAGUUUGCUAGACAAAGAUUGCCAUCGGAGCCCAUCUCCUAACGGCCCACAGGGGGCAGAUAAAGCUAGUCAAAACCAAUGAACGAAGGCGAAAUGUUUCGUUUCAUGUGGGAGGAGAUGAGACAACAGUACGGACACACAAGCGAAAAUUUGUCGAUUCUGAGGAUGAUGAACCGUUCCACGGGUUUGACGUCGAGGCUCCACCACCCGCCAGAAAUGAACUACACCCGGGAGCGUUGCAGGAAUGUGUUGAAGUUUUUCCAUCAGGAAGUUCGAAGGCGCCAUUUGUGUUGAGGCGUUCGAAUAGAAAGAAACAGAAAUC